GGAUUAGGCAUGCAAGUCGAACGAGGGAGUGUUUCGAAAGGGACACAAACCGAGUGGCGUAAGGGCGAGUAAUGCAUUGAUAACCUGCCUUUGAGAUGGGGAUAACAACGUCUCGCAAGAGACUUCCGAAAGGGUUGCUAAUACCCAAUAAGACUGUUGGUGCGGAGGUGCUGAGAGUCAAAGGUCUGGAGUGAAAGCUCCAUUUGCUCAGAGAGGGGUCAAUGUCCUAUCAGCUAGUUGGUAGGGUAAAGGCCUACCAAGGCGAAGACGGGUAGCCGGCCUGAGAGGGUGGUCGGCCGCAUUGGGACUGAGACACUGCCCAGACUCCUACGGGAGGCUGCAGUCGAGAAUCUUUCGCAAUGCCCGCAAGGGUGACGAAGCGACGCCGCGUGUGGGAAGAAGGCCUUCGGGUUGUAAACCACUGUCGGGAGUUAAGAAAGGUGUACGGGUAAAUAGUCCGUGCAUUUGACAAAAGCUCCGGAGGAAGCCACGGCUAACUCUGUGCCAGCAGCCGCGGUAAUACAGAGGUGGCAAGCGUUGUUCGGAAUUAUUGGGCGUAAAGAGCACGUAGGCGGCCCUGCAAGUCAGCUGUGAAAGCCUCCUGCUUAACGGGAGAAGUGCAGUUGAAACUACGGGGCUAGAGUGCGGAAGGGGAGAGUGGAACUUCUGGUGGAGCGGUGAAAUGCGUAGAUAUCAGAAGGAACACCGGCGGCGAAAGCGGCUCUCUGGUCCGUAACUGACGCUGAGGUGCGAAAGCCAGGGGAGCAAACGGGAUUAGAUACCCCGGUAGUCCUGGCCGUAAACGAUGGGCACUAAGUAGAGGGGUUU
rnacentral:rRNA from 1 species